UACGUAGGGUGCGAGCGUUGUCCGGAAUUAUUGGGCGUAAAGAGCUUGUAGGCGGUCUGUCGCGUCUGCUGUGAAAAUCCGGGGCUCAACCCCGGACUUGCAGUGGGUACGGGCAGACUAGAGUGUGGUAGGGGAGACUGGAAUUCCUGGUGUAGCGGUGAAAUGCGCAGAUAUCAGGAGGAACACCGAUGGCGAAGGCAGGUCUCUGGGCAACAACUGACGCUGAGGAGCGAAAGCGUGGGGAGCGAACAGG
rnacentral:rRNA from 1 species